GGAAUUGUGAAAAACUGAGUUCAACUGUAUUUGGCUAAGGUGUAUGUAAACUUCCGACUUCAACUGUGACUGCAGAGAUGGAGGACAAGCAUGUGAAGACUCAAGAGGGAGAAAGAGCUGUGGCAAAGGGAACUGUGUAUGUCAACGGAAAGAGAGAGGAUGAUGUGAUUAGAGGAGUCCAAGCUGAGCGUGGAGUCAGCUGUUCCACACGCAGCUCACACCACCCAACAACCGAAGAUGAGCAGAAUGGCCAGGGCCAUGGACAGAGUUCAAAGAGAAAGGAAGGCAGAAAGACAGGAGUGGAAAAGAGAGAUGGAGACAGUCAAGGAAAGCUUAGGUGCAGAGGUGAAGAAUGAGAUCUGUAAGACCUGCAAGAGAGAGAAAGAUGAGUUUGAAGGUAAAGAAUUUGUAAAAGAAAGAAAACAAUUGAAGGGAAGAGAAAUAGUAGAUGAAGAUGGCGAACAAGGAAUUGGAUAAGGAGGAGGUAGAUAAGAAAAAGAAGGAGGUGGUGAGGGAGAGAGAGAGGAGGAUAGUUGAACAAGAAGAUAGAGACAGUGGAGAAAAAAACAACAGCCUUGAGGAAGGAGAAAGAGAUGCUGGAGAAGAAGAGGCAUAAUUUGGACAUAAAGGAGAAAGAGUUGGAGAGAAAAAUGGUGGACAGAAAGGAGAUGAGAGAAAGGAAGAAAUGGACAGGAAAUAAAAUGGAGGAGACACAAAAGUUUGGGGAAAAGGAUAAAGGGUUGGAGAAGAAGUGGAGAAGAAAAACAACAGUCUUGAGAAAGAGAUGCUGGAGAAGAAGAGAGUUUGGAAACAAGAGAGAAAGAUGUGGAAAAGAAGGUGGCUAGGAAGAAGGAUGUCUCUCUCUUUAAAAUAGUCCAAMAUCAGAACAAAUACAAGGUGUACACCUAUGUAUUUUCCUCUGCAAUGCUUUUGUACAUUUCUAUGUAAAAUGUGUAGUCUUCUCAUACUGUAGUUAAGGUUUUGUUGGGGGCUAAAAUGUAGACUUUAUUGCUGAAUAAGUAAAUAACAAUAAAUAUAAUAUUCUGGGGAUUACCAAACGAUGUCCCAAAUCUCAAUAUAGAGGCAUUACUAAGGCCAACUGGAGGCCAAGGUUCUCUGAUUAGUAUCAUGACUAGGGUUGCAAAAUUCUGGUAGCUUUUCCAAAUUUCUCAGGUUUUCCAAAAACCCUAGUUGGAGGAUUUCCUGCUUAUUCCCUCCUGAUUCCUCUGGGAUCUUCCACAUUUUGGGAAAGUCACUGUAAUUUUACGACCCUAGUCAUGACAAAUGACUCUGAUGACGAAGUACUGGAUGGAGGCAUAGAGUAGAUAUUUGUGCUGUCAAUUUUGACUUAUGUAAACAUGGUAAUUGCUUAAUCAUUUUUAUUCUGAAAAUAUGUUCAUGUACUGGUAGAAAACURUAUACACUCCAAUCCAACUCAUGAAAAUAUACUUUUCUGACAUGUAGUUGUAAUAACAUUUAUAAAAAGUUGUCUUUUU